rnacentral:rRNA from 1 species
CGGGUGAGUAACGCGUGAGCAACCUGCCUAUGACAGGGGGAUAGCCUCGGGAAACCGGGAUUAAUACCGCAUAAAAUCGUAGAAACACAUGUUUCAACGGUCAAAGAUUUAUCGGUCAUAGAUGGGCUCGCGUCUGAUUAGCUAGUUGGUGAGAUAACAGCCCACCAAGGCGACGAUCAGUAGCCGGUCUGAGAGGAUGAACGGCCACAUUGGAACUGAGACACGGUCCAAACUCCUACGGGAGGCAGCAGCG